CUCCCCAUAGCUCAAUUGGAGAGAGCAGCUAACUUCUAAUUAGCAGGUUCGGGGUUCAAGUCCUCGUGGGGAGGCCA
rnacentral:tRNA from 1 species